UAUCGUAGCAGUCCACUCUCCAAGGCACUUGAGCAGGAAGCUAUGCUCGGGGUCCUAACUAAGAAGGCUAAGAGGAGCCUGUGCAUCGGAUGGGGACAUCUCUACGCUGCUGACCCGUCUCCGCUCGGGAUGGUUCCUGCUGGCCCCACUAUGGACUGG